rnacentral:lncRNA from 1 species
CUCACCCCCACCCACCCGCAGCCGGGGCGCUCCCUGAACUACUUCCAAACAAAGAUAGCCCUCCCGAACCUCUCCAUCGGAGUUUUGAGAUCAAGGUUUGGUGAGGAGGGACUAAAUCUUCAGCUUAAAUUCUUGUAGGGGGGAAGAAAGUUGUUUGAGGCAGAAGAAAGGGAAAGGAAAGGAAAAAGGAAAGGAAAAAGGAAAGGAAAAAGGAAAGGAAAAAGGAAAGGAAAGGAAAGGAAAGGAAAGGAAAGGAAAGGAAAGGAAAGGAAAGGAAAGGAAAGGAAAGGAAAGGAAAGGAAAGGAGAAAUGGAAAAGAAAAGGAAAAAGAAAAAGAAAAAGAAAAAGAAAAAGAAAAGGGAAAAGGAAAAGGAAAAGGAAAAGGGAAAAGGAAAAGAAAAAGAAAAGGGAAAAGAAAAGGGAAAAGGAAAAAGAAAGAGAAAAGGGAAAAGGAAAAGGAAAAGAAAAAGGAAAAGGGAAAGAAAAAGAAAAAAGAACAAGAAAAAGAAAAAAGAAAGAGAAAAAGGAAAAGAAAAAAAAAGGGAAAAAUAAAAAGAAAAAUAGAAAGAGAAAGAGAAAGAAAAAGAAAAGACAGAAGAGAGAAGCCGGAGAAAGGGCAGAAGCCGAGAGGGGUUUUGGCGGGUUUCUUGAACCAGGCUGCAAUAACGUCUGUACGAGUUUUCACAUCGCCCGCAGAGCAUUUGCAAUUCGAGUCAAAGCCGGUGCGAGCACAGCGCCCGGCGGGGCGGAGGGGCGCGGAGAAGAGCGGAGGGUCGCUGCCCGCCCGCCAGCCCCGCGCCCCGGGCCGCGGGCAGUCGCCCCCGCGCACAAAGGCGAGGUGGAAAAGUUUUGCCGCAGGUUUUGGGGUGAAACUAAUGUCACGCCCCCUCUGCGGCAGGACCCAGCCCCCUUUCCCCGGGGUUGCGCGGGAGGAGAGGGGGUUACUUGACGUCCCCGUCAUUUUAUUUUGUUUUGGGUUACUCUGUGACUCGAUGUCCCGACUGCUCUCCUGCCCGGGGAAAGUGCCGUCCUCUGUUUGCCGAGAGCCAGAAAGCGAGGGAACUGCCUCCCCCCCCGCCGCCUCCAAGUCCGCCC